GGUAUAUCUGUUUGCAAUGGCUUCCCAGACAGCACAUGUACGUCUGGCCGACGUCGGCCCAAUAUCGAAACGUCGGCCUCUAUACCUAAAACAUCUAUAAAACAUCGGCCUGGCGGAGGCCGAUAUAAUUUGGUCAGUGCUCUGUUCUCCAGCUCAUCAAUCGUCGGCCCUGAGUUGGUUCACGACCGCGGGCCGAUGCCGCGCUUAUCUGUGUGCGCGUGCCCAGUAUUCGUCUCUUUUAGCCACCCAGAGAGAGAGAAGAGGAUAAUCCCAGCGACAUCUGUGGCUCUGAGGUUUCCAGAAAUAAUCCGGUGAAAUAAUAUGGUGAGCUAUUGUUGCUGUUGCUUCUGAACUACAAAAUGAUUUUUAAAUUUAUUAUUGAAUGAGACUGUACAUUAUAAAUGUAAUGCUUUAACUCUAGAUGUUUGUUUGUGUAAAUGCUGUGUGCGCGUUGAGUCCUGCGCGAGCGGGGAGCAGAGUUGCCAUGGAAACGGGGCGUCAACACAAAAACCGUUACUGGCAAACAAUAAUCUCCGUCUCUCGCUGCAGUUUACACUGUUUUGGGAGGACAGAAAGAAACUCUACAGAACAGAAGUGAAGCUCCAAGAUUUCAACAUUUCUGAAGGGAGAUUCUGACUUAGAAAUACAGGUGACCUGAAGAAGCUCAUGAAAAACAUGAAUAUGCCUUUUUCAGAAUACAUUUCACCAAUUUUAAGAAGUCCCUGACAUCAUAACCUUGUUUCCUUCUAAUGAACCUGGAACUGUAGAGUAAAUAUUGUUGUGUCUGUGUCAGAUUGCUUGUUUUGUUCCUGGACUCUUCAGUGAUGAUGAGCAGAGUCUGAGUGAACCUGCUGUCAGACAGGUUGGCCUGAUUGACGAUGUCAUCGUCCAAUCGCCGAUGGCUGAUAGACAUCACGAUGCUGUGCCGGAAACAGCGUCAUCAGCUUCAGUAUCUCGCCCAUGCAUCUGUUGUCAUGCGACAGAGAAGUCACGUUCUAUAGACAGUUUCUAUAGACAGUUGUGAGGGUGCUGACAGCUGGUUGCCCAGGCUAUGGAUUACAGGUAAUACUGUUGGCCAGCAGAGCCCUGCUCACCCUGACGGCCCACCGCUGCUGUCAGACAACAUCUCAAAGAUGCUAUAAACUGCAGGACUAGAUGGCCAUCGAAAGGUUACUAGAGAUUACAGCAGCUCCAGACUGAAUCCAAACUCACUUUUGAAGACUUCAGAUGACACCAACGCUCACAAAGACUAUAGACAACAACUGUACAUGAACACACAAAACAUUUGACACACAAAACAAAUAUUAUCCUUAUUUUGCCUAUAAGGGUAAAUUUGAUGAUUUUCAAACUGCUUUAUUGUAACGUUUCAUAUCUAUAUAUCUAUCUGUAAAUGAACAAUAUUUACUCUCUGAGUUAUGUGGACCUACAUGUCCCCUUUUAUUUGUAAGCAUCACUUUAAAAAUGUUGAAAGAUAAUGUUAAUGUUAACUGAAUACAAAACUAGAGACUUGUUUAGUAAGAUUUUAUCAGAAAAUAUUUUUGAACUUUUAUCAUGCAAUUUAAAACAUUUUAAUUGCUUAAUUAGUAUUGUUUGCCUGGUUUUAUUUUGUGUUUAUGUAACUUUUUAAAAAGUUCUUGGCAUAAAGUUAGCCUGCGCUGCUGACAGCACUGAACACAUGACUUUUUAUUAUGAACUAGAUGGUCUUCCCAGUGAGUCUCAGUCAUCUCUGGCUUUUUAAACUGUAACCUUGAAACAUGCAUUUCCUGUAAACCUACUUUGAAAUAAGUAUUGUCAAAAGGUGCUAUACUCAUACAACAUUUAACCAUGCAAUUACUGUAGUAAUGGUUCUUUUUGUUUUUACUAUGGGUUUACUGCAAAAGCUGUAGUAAAAUCAUGGUGAUUGUAGUAAAACUAUGGUUGAUUUUGUUUUUUUCUAUGGUUUUACUGCAAAAGCUGUAGUAAAAUCAUGGUUAAUGUUCAAAAGACUACAAAUAAUCCCGAAUUAUCCACUUUUGAUCAAAGCAUCUGGUAAAUGUUAUUGUAUUUGUACAUGUAAUAUGAAAUAAAUGAAAAUAUUAAUAAAGUUGCGUCUGUUCUUGA